rnacentral:rRNA from 1 species
AUUGAACGCUGGCGGCAUGCUUUACACAUGCAAGUCGGACGAGUGGCGAACGGGUGAGUAACGCAUCGGAACGUACCGAGUAAGGGGGGAUAACUAUCCGAAAGGACAGCUAAUACCGCAUACUAUUCCAUCAGCCGAUGUCGGAUUAGCUGGUGGGGGGGGUAAAGGCCCACCAAGGCGACGAUAGCUAGCGGGUCUGAGAGGAUGAUGCGCCAAACCGGGACUGAGACACGGCCCAGACUCCUACGUGAGGCAGCAGGGGGGAAUAUUGGACAAUGGGCGCAAGCAUGAUCCAGUCAUGCCGCGUGUCUGAAGAAGGCCUUCGGUUUGUAAAGUACUUUUGUCAGGGAAGCGGUACCUGAAGAAUAAGCACCGGCUAACUACGUGCCAGCAGCCGCGGUAAUUC